GAUGAACGCUGGCGGCGUGCCUAAUACAUGCAAGUCGAGCGAACGGACGAGAAGCUUGCUUCUCUGAUGUUAGCGGCGGACGGGUGAGUAACACGUGGAUAACCUACCUAUAAGACUGGGAUAACUUCGGGAAACCGGAGCUAAUACCGGAUAAUAUUUUGAACCGCAUGGUUCAAAAGUGAAAGACGGUCUUGCUGUCACUUAUAGAUGGAUCCGCGCUGCAUUAGCUAGUUGGUAAGGUAACGGCUUACCAAGGCAACGAUGCAUAGCCGACCUGAGAGGGUGAUCGGCCACACUGGAACUGAGACACGGUCCAGACUCCUACGGGAGGCAGCAGUAGGGAAUCUUCCGCAAUGGGCGAAAGCCUGACGGAGCAACGCCGCGUGAGUGACGAAGGUCUUCGGAUCGUAAAACUCUGUUAUUAGGGAAGAACAUAUGUGUAAGUAACUGUGCACAUCUUGACGGUAUCUAAUCAGAAAGCCACGGCUAACUACGUG
rnacentral:rRNA from 1 species